UACAGAGGGGGCAAGCGUUAUUCGGAAUUAUUGGGCGUAAAGGGCGCGUAGGCGGCCUUGCAAGUGACGGGUGAAAUCCCUCGGCUUAACCGAGGAACUGCCUGUCAAACUGCGUGGCUUGAGACCAGGAGAGGUGAGUGGAAUUCCCAGUGUAGCGGUGAAAUGCGUAGAUAUUGGGAGGAACACCAGUGGCGAAGGCGGCUCACUGGUCCGGUACUGACGCUGAGGUGCGAAAAGCGUGGGGAGCAAACAGG
rnacentral:rRNA from 1 species